rnacentral:rRNA from 1 species
UGAGGAAUAUUGGUCAAUGGGCGAAAGCCUGAACCAGCCAAGUAGCGUGCAGGAUGACGGCCCUACGGGUUGUAAACUGCUUUUAGGCGGGGGUAAAGGAGCGGACGUGUUCCGCUUUUGCAAGUACCGCCAGAAAAAGGACCGGCUAAUUCCGUGCCAGCAGCCGCGGUAAUACGGAAGGUCCGGGCGUUAUCCGGAUUUAUUGGGUUUAAAGGGAGCGUAGGCCGGAGAUUAAGCGUGUUGUGAAAUGUAGUGGCUCAACCUCUGCACUGCAGCGCGAACUGGUCUUCUUGAGUACGCACAACGUGGGCGGAAUUCGUGGUGUAGCGGUGAAAUGCUUAGAUAUCACGAAGAACUCCGAUUGCGAAGGCAGCUCACGGGAGCGCAACUGACGCUGAAGCUCGAAAGUGCGGGUAUCGAACAGGAUUAGAUACCCUGGUAGU